rnacentral:rRNA from 1 species
CGGGCGGCUGCAGUCGAGAAUAUUGGUCAAUGGGCGAAAGCCUGAACCAGCGACGCCGCGUGCUUGAAGAAGCCCUUCGGGGCGUAAAAAGCUUUUCUGGGGGAUGAACCUUCGGGUGACAGUACCCCAGGAAUAAGAGGUUGCUAACUCUGUGCCAGCAGCAGCGGUAAUACAGAGACCUCAAGCGUUAUCCGGAUUUAUUGGGCGUAAAGGGUCCGUAGGCGGCCAGGCUAGUCUUUGGUUAAACACCCAGAGCUUAACUUUGGGAAUGCCAGAGAUACUGCCUAGCUAGAGGGCAUUAGAGGCUGAUAGAACGGUCGGUGUAGGGGUGAAAUCCGUUGAUAUCGACCGGAAUACCAAAAGCGAAGGCAUUCAGCUGGGGUGACCCUGACGCUGAGGGACGAAAGCGUGGGCAUGGAAAAGGAUUAGAUACCCUUGUAGUC